UACGAGGGGGGCAAGCGUUGUUCGGAAUUAUUGGGCGUAAAGGGUGUGUAGGCGGUUUGGUAAGUCUUCUGUGAAAUCUACAGGCUCAACUUGUAGUCUGCAUGAGAAACUGCCGGGCUUGAGUAUGGGAGAGGUGAGUGGAAUUCCUGGUGUAGCGGUGAAAUGCGUAGAUAUCAGGAGGAACACCUGUGGCGAAAGCGGCUCACUGGACCAUAACUGACGCUGAUGCACGAAAGCUAGGGGAGCAAACAGG
rnacentral:rRNA from 1 species